rnacentral:tRNA from 1 species
CGCUCCGUAGCUCAGCUGGCAGAGCUCCGCACUCAUAAUGCGAUGGUCGCGGGUUCAAGUCCCGCCGGAGCAACGA